UCAGUACGCGUUUCACACGAGAGGUCACGUAGGCAAUCAGUGUGUCAAUCGAUCCAAUGUCCGAAUUCAUUCUCGCGCAUACGAACAAUCCAGAUCCGUUUCUCCAUUAGGCGCGAUUGAACGACUCACGUGCUUUCAAUCAGACGAUCCUGAUUUACUUUCCAAAUAGUUGAGAUCCAAUAGUCUAGAUUGGUCCACGCGGGCCCGAACGGACGGCCUAGAUCGAACAUGGAGAGGUCUUUAAACCUCUUUACCUGGACUCCCUAAAAACCUUAGCCGCCAGAAAUCACUGGAGAAAAAGAAGAAGGGCGGGCGAAAAGUGAACCAGUCGUCAGAGAAGAAAACCGACCACCAUC
rnacentral:lncRNA from 1 species